AUUCAUUUCCCAUGUCAGUCUGCACCCACCCAGGGUGCAGUGUAAUGCACAGAAUCUCAUCUUCGGCAAAGUGCAUGGACUGGCAUCGAGUGAGCAUGUUCAGAGCAGACUGAGAAGGAGAACAAAGAAAGAGAAAAUAAACAAGUGGGUCCUCUGAGCUCUCAGAGUCACCAGCCCCUUUCCCACGCAGCUUCUGUAGCUGAAAUCUGGCUUGGGCAAUAGGCUGAACGCUCCACAAAGGCCUGCAGAAGAUAAGAACAUUAAUGGAUCCAUAAAGAUAUGCUAUCAUCUCCCACUCGUUUCUCCCAGGGAGAGUCCACAUUAUCGGGGCCGCAAGCAACCACGAGCAGCAGGACGCCAGCUGUGCCGAAAUAAAGUUGUCCAAAAACGCCAGUGGAAAUCUAUCACACUUCAGAAUUAUUUUGAAACAGACCAAGAUGGAUCUCUUAGAGCUAGUUUGGUGUGAAACAAUAAAGAACUCAGCUUGGAAGAAUUGCCACAUGUCAUUCUUAGAUUUGAGCCAACAGGCAAGAAUCUAAAUAUCAGUGGAUAAUGUGAGAGCAAGAGAGACAACCUCUAAGAAGCCAUUCAGGUCAGUGUAAAAACUAAAUAGUCCAUGAACUUAUUUCUUCUGGAGGUGGGUAGGGAAUCACAUUGAAUAAGGAGACAGCAUGUAUAGGUCUUCUAAAGCAGUGGUUCUCAACCUGGGCAACUUGAAGAGGUGUGGACUUCAAUUCCCAGAAUUCCCCAGCCAGCAAGACUAAGAGCUCAAGCUGCCAAGGCAGUCUAUCUGCUUCUUGUGACCAUCUCCUCAAAUGAUUGCACCCAGAAGAAUGAAGAAAGCUCCAGCCUUGUAAACUCAGAGUUAAAUUGGCUCUUAAAGGUAAUAUAGCUUGUUGAGAUUUAUGUAACCUUGCCUCUUGUUCCUCCGUUAAUAAAUCUGAUUAGAGAAGUUGCUGUAAGUGUACUUAGAUGUC